AGAGGAGGGCGUGGUCCCCAGCUAGGGCUUCAUCCCUGGGCCUGGGCCUACCUAGGUGAAGACAGGCAUUUUUGUUUUCCUGCCCGGAUGUUGCAUUUCCCAAGACCACCCUGGCCUGCCAUGCCCUCAUCCUGUGCCUUUAAAAACCCCCGAGACCCUGGCAGGCAGACGCACAAGCAGCUGGACAUUGAGAGGAGCAUAUAGGCAGAGAAUACAGGGGCUGCUGGAUGUCGAAAGGAACGCACCAGCAUAGGAGCACACCGGCAUGCUGGCAGGCCAUUGACCAGCGGAAGAAUGCAGAGUUUGUCGCGGGAGGUCAGAGAAGAGUCAGGCCGCCAUACCUGACUCCAGGAGAAAACCGUCUCCCUUCUGGUUCCCCCGUCUGCCGAGAGCUACUUCCACUCAAUAAAACUUUCCACUCAUUCUUCAAGCCCACGUGUGAUCCAAUUCUUCCCGUACACCAAGGUCUCGCUGUGUUUCCCAGGCUGGGUGCAGUGGCUAUUCAAAGGUACAAUGAUAGCUCACUGCAGCCUGGAACUCCUGGACUCAAGCGAUCCUCCUGCCUCAGCUGCGACUAACAGCUCCAAGUUUAGAAGACCCUACGACGUGACUCAGUAAGUGGCCUCACCUUCAUCCGAUUGCUCAGAAUUAAAACCUAGAAGUCAUCCUUGAUUUUCUCCUCUCAAAUCUGUCUCCAUUCAUCAGCACGUGCUUUUGACUCGAUGAAAC
rnacentral:lncRNA from 1 species